rnacentral:rRNA from 1 species
AUUGAACGCUGGCGGCAUGCCUUACACAUGCAAGUCGAACGGCAGCACGGGAGCAAUCCUGGUGGCGAGUGGCGAACGGGUGAGUAAUAUAUCGGAACGUGCCCAGUCGUGGGGGAUAACGUAGCGAAAGUUACGCUAAUACCGCAUACGAUCUAUGGAUGAAAGCGGGGGAUCGCAAGACCUCGCGCGAUUGGAGCGGCCGAUAUCAGAUUAGGUAGUUGGUGGGGUAAAGGCUCACCAAGCCGACGAUCUGUAGCUGGUCUGAGAGGAUGAUCCGCCACACUGGAACUGAGACACGGUCCAGACUCCUACGGGAGGCAGCAGUGGGGAAUUUUGGACAAUGGGGGCAACCCUGAUCCAGCCAUGCCGCGUGAGUGAAGAAGGCCUCGGUUGGUU